UACGUAGGGGGCAAGCGUUAUCCGGAUUUACUGGGUGUAAAGGGAGCGUAGACGGCGAUGCAAGUCUGAAGUGAAAGGCGGGGGCCCAACCCCCGGACUGCUUUGGAAACUGUAUGGCUGGAGUGCAGGAGAGGUAAGUGGAAUUCCUAGUGUAGCGGUGAAAUGCGUAGAUAUUAGGAAGAACACCAGUGGCGAAGGCGGAUGACUGGACGACAACUGACGGUGAGGCGCGAAAGCGUGGGGAGCAAACAGG
rnacentral:rRNA from 1 species